rnacentral:rRNA from 1 species
AUUGAACGCUAGCGGCAUGCCUUACACAUGCAAGUCGAACGGCAGCGGGGGAGCUUGCUCCCGCCGGCGAGUGGCGAACGGGUGAGUAAUACAUCGGAACGCACCCAGUAGCGGGGGAUAGCCCGGCGAAAGCCGGAUUAAUACCGCAUACGCCCUACGGGGAAAGGGGGGGAUCGCAAGACCUCUCACUAUUGGAGCGGCAGGUGGCUGAUUAGCUAGUUGGUGGGGUAAAGGCCGACCAAGGCGACGAUCAGUAGCUGGUCUGAGAGGACGACCAGCCACACUGGGACUGAGACACGGCCCAGACUCCUACGGGAGGCAGCAGUGGGGAAUUUUGGACAAUGGGCGAAAGCCUGAUCCAGCAAUGCCGCGUGUGCGAAGAAGGCCUUCGGGUUGUAAAGCACUUUUGUCAGGGAAGAAAUCGUUUGGGUUAAUACCCCGAGCAGUUGACGGUACCUGAAGAAUAAGCACCGGCUAACUACGUGCCAGCAGCCGCCGUAA